UACGUAGGGUGCAAGCGUUGUCCGGAAUUAUUGGGCGUAAAGAGCUCGUAGGCGGUUUGUCGCGUCUGCUGUGAAAACUGGGGGCUCAACCCCCAGCCUGCAGUGGGUACGGGCAGACUAGAGUGCGGUAGGGGAGAUUGGAAUUCCUGGUGUAGCGGUGGAAUGCGCAGAUAUCAGGAGGAACACCGAUGGCGAAGGCAGAUCUCUGGGCCGUAACUGACGCUGAGGAGCGAAAGCGUGGGUAGCGAACAGG
rnacentral:rRNA from 1 species